rnacentral:rRNA from 1 species
UACGUAGGGUGCGAGCGUUAAUCGGAAUUACUGGGCGUAAAGCGUGCGCAGGCGGCUCAGUAAGUCGGGUGUGAAACCUCCAGGCUCAACCUGGAGACGCCACCCGAUACUGCUGUGGCUAGAGUCCAGUAGGGGAGCGUGGAAUUCCUGGUGUAGCGGUGAAAUGCGCAGAUAUCAGGAGGAACACCAGCGGCGAAGGCGGCGCUCUGGGCUGGCACUGACGCUGAGGAGCGAAAGCGUGGGGAGCGAACAGG